ACACAUGCAAGUCGAGGGGAAACGACGGGGAAGCUUGCUUCCCCGGGCGUCGACCGGCGCACGGGUGAGUAACGCGUAUCCAACCUGCCUCUGACUGAGGGAUAACCCGUCGAAAGUCGGCCUAAUACCUCAUGGCAUCGUCUGCGGGCAUCCAACGACGAUUAAAGAUUUCAUCGGUCAGGGAUGGGGAUGCGUCUGAUUAGCUAGUUGGCGGGGUAACGGCCCACCAAGGCUACGAUCAGUAGGGGUUCUGAGAGGAAGGUCCCCCACAUUGGAACUGAGACACGGUCCAAACUCCUACGGGAGGCAGCAGUGAGGAAUAUUGGUCAAUGGGCGGGAGCCUGAACCAGCCAAGUAGCGUGCAGGAAGACGGCCCUAUGGGUUGUAAACUGCUUUUAUGCGGGGAUAAAGUGAGGGACGUGUCCUUCAUUGCAGGUACCGCAUGAAUAAGGACCGGCUAAUUCCGUGCCAGCAGCCGCGGUAAUACGGAAGGUCCGGGCGUUAUCCGGAUUUAUUGGGUUUAAAGGGAGCGUAGGCCGCGGAUUAAGCGUGUAGUGAAAUGCAGGUGCUCAACGUCUGCAC
rnacentral:rRNA from 1 species